CGCAUCUGUGCAUGCAGCAUAUCAAUAAGCGGAGGAAAAGAAACUAACAAGGAUUCCCCUAGUAACGGCGAGUGAAGCGGGAAGAGCUCAAAUUUGAAAUCUUAAAGGGUUUCCCUUUACGAAUUGUAGUUUAAAGAAGUGUUUUCUGUUGAGGUUUUGGUAAAAGUUCUUUGGAAUAGGACAUCAUAGAGGGUGAGAAUCCCGUAUUUGACCUUUACUUUCAACUUUGUGAUACACUUUCAAAGAGUCGGAUUGUUUGGGAAUGCAGUCCAAAAUGGGUGGUAAAUUUCAUCUAAAGCUAAAUAUUGGCGAGAGACCGAUAGCGAACAAGUACCGUGAGGGAAAGAUGAAAAGAACUUUGAAAAGAGAGUUAAACAGUACGUGAAAUUGUCAAAAGGGAAGCGUUUGACACCAGUGUUGUUUUUCUGAAAAUCAAUUAAAGAACUGUUUAUGCUAAGCUGUUUAGACUUUAUCAGCUAACUGUUUAGUUUUGAGCUUUUCUUUAAUGCACUUUUCAGUUAACAAGUCAACAUCAAUUUCUUUUGCUGUAAAAAAGCUUGAGGAAGGUGGCUUGAGAUUCGUCUUAAGUGUUUAUAGCCUCUUGCCUAUGCAGUCGGAGAGAUUGAGGUCUGCAGCGUAGAUCCUUCGGGGCUAAAUGCAUUUGUGCUAAGAUAUAGCAUUUUAUAGACAACUUGUUGACUAUGAUUUGUCUUGUAGCUUACUCGCUUAUGUUAUUUUACCUACGCUUAGGAUGUUGAGUCAUCACACAUCUCU
rnacentral:rRNA from 1 species